rnacentral:tRNA from 1 species
UGUCGCUUAGCAGUAAAGCACUUGGCUUUUUAACCAAGGGUCCUAGGUUCAAAUCCUGGUA